ACUUUAACUCCACCUGUAGCUCUUCUACAGUUACUGCCGGUCCCAAGUCCGGGUAAAGGAGGAAGGUUGG
rnacentral:ribozyme from 2 species